GGCCGUGUAGCGCAGCCGGUAGGGUUUUUGGUUUCGACCCAACUGGCCCUGGGUUCAAACCUGCCUGAGGUAA